GCUCCUAUGGUCUAGUGGUUAUGACGCUUCGUUGUGGAACUAGAUGCGCGUUAGUUGUAUGCUUUCUUGUAUUACCGAAGCAGCCUGUGUUCGAUUCACGGUGGGGGCA
rnacentral:tRNA from 1 species